rnacentral:rRNA from 1 species
UACGUAGGAGGCAAGCGUUGUCCGGAAUUACUGGGUGUAAAGCGCGUGUAGGCGGCAGGCCAAGUCUGUGGUGAAAUCGCUCGGCUCAACUGGGCGGGGUCCAUGGAAACUGGUCAGCUGGAGGACGGUAGAGGUGAGUGGAAUUCCCGGUGUAGUGGUGAAAUGCGUAGAGAUCGGGAGGAACACCCGUGGCGAAGGCGGCUCACUGGGCCGGUCCUGACGCUGAGGAGCGAAAGCAUGGGGAGCGAACAGG